GAUGUCGAGUUGUUCCCAGGAGAAGAGAGGCUGGGGGAAAUUUCUGUCACAACGUCAAAGAGAAUGGACAAAAUUUGCAAAAUACCCAGCGUCACGUCACCGUUUGAACACCAUUCGAAUUCUAUGAAUAAAUCUGCGUCCGAAUUCUCGCCAGACAGGGCUUUGUAUGCGAUGGUUGUUACAUGAUAAAACCAAUUGAGAUAUACCAAUGACGAGGCCCAAGGAUUCCAGCUUUAUUCCCUCUAAUCCACCAUUUUUUGCGAUUCUGAUAGAACCAAUCCAUGAAGUUGAUUACUUCAAUCAUGAUGUCAAUGCAUUGUAUAUUCAAUAGAUCAAUGUCAGCAAAAUAUACAUACAAGAAAAUAGCAAAAAACACAUUAACAGUUCUGAUAAUAAACGACCGCUGUAAGAUCUACGAAUUCCAUCGAAUAUUUCACUUUUGAUAAGCUUCUUGCUGUCUGUUGUGAGAAAUGACGGAUGCACGGGAAUAGAGAGGAUUGUAUAUUAUUUGUGGUCCGUGGUCCAUCGUUAUGUUGGAGACAAAUCUCGUGGUGCCAGACUACGCAAUUAUUACAGAACAAUACAACCGUGUCUUUUCUAAGAACACACCGAUCCCCUGCCCUGGACCAUUCACAAGACAUCGAUGCGCUGGAAGUGUAGAAUCUAAUCUAAACCGUGCACAGAGUUGGAAUGUUGGAGUAAUGCAACUGAUAAUCCUUACCAUGGAAAACAACAUCUAUGGCCUCGUCGAUCUCUGAAGCAGAUGGGUACAUGUCACACUCCUUGAAGAAUGACUCCAACUCAAUCACCUCCAGCUCAG